UCUGAUCUACCAUACUUGUGCUUUCGUCUUAUUUUGUCCAUACUGCUCACUUUGUUUUACCGAUGGUGUUCAACAGAUGCAGAGUAAAAGGAGGCAAUGCUUUUUGAAACUCUAAUAUAUCACUAUUAUAUGUUCUUAGCAGUGAUUUCGAUGGGGCAAAGCUCCUAUAAAGGGUAUCUCUAGUAGCUCUACGAUGUGGACACAUGCGUUAACAGCGCCCUGUAGGAAACAAACAAAAAAUUACUCUGUUUUAAUAUGGUGUCAAUGAAGCGUCUCACUAUCUCUUGUAGCACACUGUUCCCUAGGCAACCUGAGACCGCGAAAGAAAAUGUGAAGGUGAGAAAUUAUUAAAUAAUGGAGCAACUGAAUCUUUAUAAUUUUUAUGAUUGGAGACUGAUAAUUAUUAUGCAGUGGAACUGUGUUAGUGCCAAUUUAAUAGUAAAUAAUAAUAGAAAUUAAUUUGAGAUAUGGCAGAAGGAAUACCUGAAAUUGAUUGUGUUUCUGACUAUUCUGACUCAGAAACUUGCAGUUCAUCCUGUUGCUCUAGAAGUGAUGGGGAACAUGAACUUCCAUGGCUAGAAAGAGUAGGGGCGAAAGGAGAUUUGUUUUAUGUCGAAUUGCAGUGCUCUGUGAACUCAUUUAGCUCUAACCUAAGUAAUACUCCAUUAGAGGCAGCUGAUGCAAAGGCAGCUCAUAAAGUAAAAUCUAGAUUAAAUACCACUGAAAAAUUCAAAAAAUUGAUGAAAAGAAGGAAGAAAAUUGUACAAAAUUCAAUUUCUCUUCUGAAGUCAAACAAAUUUCGUACAAAUUCCUCUGACGAUAUUUCAUUCGAUUCACUGCCUAUACCUUUCAGGGAUAUAUAUGUUGAUAUUGGUUCUUCAAGACAAACUAUAGGCCAUAAAGCUACACUAGCUGAAGAAUUAUUCGGUCUUGAACUGGGCAGAGAAGAUGAAAAAAGUUCUAUUGUUGAGGAUAACAGGUUAAAAGUACUGUCAUUUCCUUCAGGUAAAGAAAUAGCUGAUGUGAAAAUUGGUGAUUGGCUGAAAUCUGUAAAUGAUAUACCUGUCAAUUUCAACAACAUAGAUGAUGUUCUCAGAAAUAUUGCCUUGCCAUCAACGGUGAAACUCACCGUUUCUUCUGCAUCUAAUGGAGCACUGUUAUCGAAUUUUCAUCCUAGAUAUAGUGCUAUUCUGAGGCAACUUCUUGAUGAAUCAGAUGUUGUGAGAGAAUCAAAAUCACUUUUUCAACAUAUACCAUAUGGACUUUUUUAUCUUGUCAAUGAAGCAGGUAGUUCCAGAGAUGAUCCUGUCUUGUAUAAAUAUCCUCCAGAAAAUACACCUCUUUUGAAUCUUACAAGUAUGUUUAUGACAAUAGGACACAUGAUUCCUGACAUUGAUUUAAGUACCCCACUUCUUAGUUGUAAUAUUAUUGUUCAAAAUGAAGUGGUGCAUAUUGGCUUUAGCAAAGAAGAAAAUGAACUAUUAGUUCUUGCUCUUCCAUCAUCUAGUGCAACAGUUAGAGAAGUUCAGUACUUUACAGCUAACAUAGUUAAACUACUUAAGUUUCAAUACUCAACUCUAGAAAAUGCCUUUAUGACUGAAGAAUACAGAAAUCGCAUAGAAAUUUACUUUGCAGAUUUCUUUGAGUAUUUCUUAGGCUCAGUAUAUUCUGGGCAAAAAGGUGUUUCAUGUUCUCAUACUUUGGAAAUUCUGCCAAGUGUUCACUGGGUUCCCCUUCCAGUAGAUCUGAAGACUGAAAUCGAUGACAUUCUAAGUGAACUAGAAUCAUCAGAUUUUGAGAGUUCAUGUCAUGGUUUUUAUGGCAAUCAAAGAAUUUAUGGCAUUUUGGGAUCCUGCAUAUUUUACAAGGGAUAUUUGCUGAGCAAUCACCUUCCUAAAAGUGAUUUGCUAGAUUUUCACUUAUUCCUCCAUCACCAUCAUAUACUAAAAUUAACAAGAAUGCAGCCUGUAUCUAAGAUCAUCAUUUGGCAUGAAGUAUUCCCUUCAAGGCACCAAGAACCUUCUGUAGUGAACCCAGACUUCCAGGAAACAUCUGGUAGAUAUUUCAUGCUAAUAGUGGCAAUGGAUUGUGCAUCAACAUGGAAUCCAUUAUCUUCCAUUUUUACCAGUACCGGAAAUGCACAUUUGUCUAACUCUAACAUUAACAGUGUGGGAAAUCUCGGUGGUCAUUCUAGUGCCUUAUUAGAGAAAGGAGCAAUCUCCUGGAAAGGCUUAGAAGGAAAUUUGACAGAAAGACUAGAUGAUCCAGAAGUUGAAAGACAACAUCUCAUUUCUUUUAUGGGUCCAGCGGAUGGUGAAUCUGAUGUAGAAUCAAACUAUUCAGAUGACUCAAAUGACAAUUCACAGUCUCAAGAUAAAAGAUCUAGGAGCUACAGUACUUCAACUGGUUCUACUAAUGGUUCUCAAGGAAGCAGUGAAUAUGUAAAUGUACAGUUACCUAAACACGGUACUGCAUCGGAUGCAACUGGACUUCUUGGAUGUGAAAACCUUUUCAGUGAAAAUGCAGUAAGCGUUGUAGCUGGAUGUGAAAAUACUUUAUUCCAUUAUUUGCAUAUGGAUCCAGUAGAGGGUAUUUUCUUAGCUCCUGUACGUGAUGAUGCUGACUUGUUUCAAGGAUCAGUUAUGAAGAAUAUUUUGGACACUUUUCACAGAUCUUGUCUGAAUAUGCGGACUGUAUUUGCACAUUCUUUAAGGAAUGAGAAAAUCACUAAAGCAAAUAUAACUAAAAGAUAUGGGGUCAAUAAUUUCAUUCAUACUACUUACGAACAGGGUAUUCUUUUUCAUUGCAAUCUGAAAGAACCUACAAAGCAAAAAAAUUCGUUGAGUUUCUGGAUUGUUGGGGCUGGACACUUGUCAAGAAUCCAUCAGGAAUGGUCCACCCUAUAGGCAUUUUAACCAUCUUAUCACAGGGAAGAAUGACCUAGUCCCCAGUGUGUCACCACAGGGGAUUACAUCAUGAAGAGGGGGAAAAGAAUAGAAGUCAGGAAAGGAACAUUCAUUCUCUGUUAACUAGUCUACCAUCUAGGGUGGCACGUCAUUUUUGAUGCGAGGGUUUGUUUAAAGGUUGUUCUUUAAUCCUGAACCUCGAGAAGUAUACGUUUGUUACCAUGACUCAGUACAACAAGAUAUAGUAGAAAUUGCUUUUCGCCUUGGAUUUGGCCUUUCCCUAUGAUGAUUUUAGUUGAAUUGCUG